AGGGUUCGAUUAUGGCUCAGAACGAACGCUGGCGGCAGGCCUAACACAUGCAAGUCGAGCGCGCCUUCGGGCGAGCGGCGGACGGGUUAGUAACGCGUGGGAACGUGCCCAGAUCUACGGAAUAGCCACUGGAAACGGUGAGUAAUACCGUAUACGCCCUUAGGGGGAAAGAUUUAUCGGAUUUGGAUCGGCCCGCGUUAGAUUAGGUAGUUGGUGGGGUAACGGCCUACCAAGCCUACGAUCUAUAGCUGGUUUUAGAGGAUGAUCAGCAACACUGGGACUGAGACACGGCCCAGACUCCUACGGGAGGCAGCAGUGGGGAAUCUUGGACAAUGGGGGCAACCCUGAUCCAGCCAUGCCGCGUGAGUGAAGAAGGCCCUAGGGUCGUAAAACUCUUUCGCCUGUGAUGAUAAUGACAGUAGCAGGUAAAGAAACCCCGGCUAACUCCGUGCCAGCCGCCGCGGUAAUAC
rnacentral:rRNA from 1 species